CGGCAGUGUCCUCAGUUGGCACCCAGAGGAGCUGUUGCAUUCUCCCCUUUAUUGUGGAGAUGGCUGCAGCAGGUGCUCUUGUCCUGGGGGAAGACAGCCAUUGAGAUUGGCAGAGGCUUAAGUAUGAAGUCAAAGGCAACACCUGAUAUCAGAAAGGGCCCAGGCAGCAGUGGGGAAGUCCUCAGCUGGAUCUUUGAGCCUUGGACGGAAUCAGCAGCAGGCUCAUAGGUUGAAGGAACUCAUUUCCAGAUGAGACUUUGGACUUUGGAGUUAAUGCUGAAAUGAGUUAAGACUUUGGGGGACUAUUGAGAAGAGAGGACUAUAUUUUGCAAUGUGAAAAGGACAUGACAUUUGAGGGACCAAGGUGGAAUGACGUGCCCCUGCCAAAUCUCAUGUUGAAUUGUAAUCCUCAGUGUUGGAAUUGGGGUCUGGGGGGGGAUGUUUGAGUCAUGGGGGUGGAUCUCUCAUGGUUUGGUGCUGUCUUUGCAUUAUCAAGUGAGUUCUCACAAGAUCUGGUUGUUAGCCUGACCAACAUGGUGAAACCCUAUCUCAACUAAAAAUACAAAAAUUAGCGGGGCAUGGUGGCAUGCGCCUAUAAUCCCAGCUACUCAGGAGGCUGAGGCAGGAGAAUCGCUUGAACCAGGGAGGCAGAGGUUGCAGUGAGCCAAGAUCACGCCAUUGCACUCCAGCUUGGGUGACAGAGCGAAACUCCGUCUCAAAAAAAAAAAAAAAGUGUAUAGCACCUUCCCUUCACUCUCUCUCUUGCUCCCAGUCCUGCCAUAUGAGAUGCCUGUUCCCUCUUUGCCUUCUUCCAUGAUUGUAAGCUUCCUAAGGCCUCCCCAAAAGCAGAUGCCAGCACUAUGCUUCCUGUACAGCCUGAAGAACUGUGAACCAAUUAAACCUCUUUUCUUUAUAAAUUA
rnacentral:lncRNA from 1 species